GGAGAGAUGGCAGAGUGGUCGAUUGUACCUGACUCGAAAUCAGGCGUACGGUUUCCCCGUACCGAGGGUUCGAAUCCCUCUCUCUCCGCCA
rnacentral:tRNA from 1 species